AUACGGAAGGUCCGGGCGUUAUCCGGAUUUAUUGGGUUUAAAGCGAGCGCAGGCGGCACUUCCAGCCUGACGUUAAAUUUCGGGGCUCACCCCCGAUUUGCGUCGCGAACUGUUGUGCUUGAGUAGGCGGCAGGGCGGCGGAAUUCGCGGUGUAGCGGUGAAUUGCUUAGAUAUCGCGAGGAACUCCGAUAGCUCAGGCAGCCUCCCGUUGCUUUACUGACGCUCAUGCUCGAAGGUGCGGGUAGCGAACAGGAUUAGAUACCCUGGUAGUCCGCACUGUAAAAGAUGGAUGCCCGCUGUUGGGCCUUUUGGGUUCAGUGGCCAAGAGAAAGCGUUAAGCAUCCCACCUGGGGAGUACGCCGGCAACGGUGAAACUCAAAGGAAUUGACGGGG
rnacentral:rRNA from 1 species